UACGUAGGGUGCAAGCGUUGUCCGGAAUUAUUGGGCGUAAAGAGCUUGUAGGCGGUCUGUCACGUCGGCUGUGAAAUCCCGAGGCUCAACCUCGGGUCUGCAGUCGAUACGGGCAAACUAGAGUAUUGCAGGGGAGACUGGAAUUCCUGGUGUAGCGGUGAAAUGCGCAGAUAUCUGGAGGAACACCGGUGGCGAAGGCGGCAUCCUGGACCGACACUGACGCUGAGGAGCGAAAGCCAGGGGAGCAAACGGG
rnacentral:rRNA from 1 species